rnacentral:rRNA from 3 species
UGGUAAUGCCGGAUGCUCCAGUUGAUCGCAUGGUCUUCUGGGAAAGCUUUCGCGGUAUGGGAUGGGGUCGCGUCCUAUCAGCUUGACGGCGGGGUAACGGCCCACCGUGGCUUCGACGGGUAGCCGGCCUGAGAGGGCGACCGGCCACAUUGGGACUGAGAUACGGCCCAGACUCCUACGGGAGGCAGCAGUGGGGAAUAUUGCACAAUGGGCGCAAGCCUGAUGCAGCGACGCCGCGUGAGGGAUGGAGGCCUUCGGGUUGUAAACCUCUUUUAUCGGGGAGCAAGCGAGAGUGAGUUUACCCGUUGAAUAAGCACCGGCUAACUACGUGCCAGCAGCCGCGGUAAUACGUAGGGUGCAAGCGUUAUCCGGAAUUAUUGGGCGUAAAGGGCUCGUAGGCGGUUCGUCGCGUCCGGUGUGAAAGUCCAUCGCUUAACGGUGGAUCCGCGCCGGGUACGGGCGGGCUUGAGUGCGGUAGGGGAGACUGGAAUUCCCGGUGUAACGGUGGAAUGUGUAGAUAUCGGAAAGAACACCA